UGAGCAAUCCGCCCUUCACAUCGGAAUAACCAUUGGAAACGAUGGCUAAUACCGAAUAUGACUUCGGAUCGCAUGAUCUGAAGUGGAAAGCUCCGGCGGUGAAGGAUGAGCUCGCGGCCUAUCAGCUUGUUGGUGAGGUAACGGCUCACCAAGGCUUCGACGGGUAGCCGGCCUGAGAGGGUGACCGGCCACACGUGGGACUGAGACACGGCCCAGACCUCUACGGGAG
rnacentral:rRNA from 1 species